UGGGCAACGGUAGGUCAGUAUGCCCCGAAUCUCCCGGGCUACACGCGGGCUACAAUGGUUGGUACAAUGGGGCAAGUCUACCCCGAAAGGGGAAGGAAAUCUCUUAAAGCCAAUCGUAGUUCGGAUUGAGGGCUGCAACUCGCCCUCAUGAAGCUGGAAUCCGUAGUAAUCGCGUUUCAACAGAACGCGGUGAAUACGUCCCUGCCGUCCUU
rnacentral:rRNA from 1 species